UACGGGGGGAGCAAGCGUUGUUCGGAUUUACUGGGCGUAAAGGGCGCGUAGGCGGUCAGCACAAGUCAGUUGUGAAAUCUCCGGGCUUAACUCGGAAAGGUCAACUGAUACUGUGCGACUAGAGUGCAGAAGGGGCAACUGGAAUUCUCGGUGUAGCGGUGAAAUGCGUAGAUAUCGAGAGGAACACCUGCGGCGAAGGCAGGUCUCUGGGCUGACACUGACGCUCAUGCACGAAAGCGUGGGGAGCAAACAGG
rnacentral:rRNA from 1 species